UACGUAGGAUGCAAGCGUUGUCCGGAAUUAUUGGGCGUAAAGAGCGCGCAGGCGGUCUGCCAAGUCAGAUGUGAAAGAGGCCGGCUUAACCGGCAAGGGUCAUUUGAAACUGACAGACUAGAGUGCAGCAGAGGAUAGCGGAAUUCCCGGUGUAGUGGUGAAAUGCGUAGAGAUCGGGAGGAACACCUGUGGCGAAGGCGGCCCCCUGGGCCGGGCCUGACACUGAGACGCGAAGGCGUGGGGAGCGAACGGG
rnacentral:rRNA from 1 species